rnacentral:misc_RNA from 1 species
GAAGUGCAAGAACAGGAGCUGAAGGCUGAAGAAGAAAUGGAUCAAAGGAAAGCAGAUCUGCUCAAGAGGAAUGGAGCUCCUAGUUUGGAUGUUUUGUAUCAUGGUUUCUUGUUCUUCUUCUUUUAUUUUUAAUUUUUUUUUUAAUUUUUGUUUAACUUCAUGCCUCUGGCCUUUGUUGGUAUAGGGUUUUGGUGCGAUCGUUAGUUGACAAACCCACUAGCCUGAUUUCCUGAAACAAGGCUCUAGCCAAAAAAGAAAUCCAAUUUAAAUGGAUAAGAAAUUACUGAUGAAAUAUCAAAUUUUGGGAUAUGUGAUACUGAUCACUAAUGAUAUAUGUAAAUUCUCUAAAUUAUACUAAGCACCCCACAAGAUUGAAUAAUUAUACAAACCACUUCUAAUUAUAUUAUGUGAUCAGUUUGUUUCUUAAUUGAAAUAGGCUGUUACAGCUUAUCUUCUAAAAUAUUUUAAAAAAUAGGAUUUGGACGAAAACUUGUUUGUCAUAAAUUAUAGUCUGUGGAUAAUUAAUGUAAUCAUUCAAGCUAGAGGAGAAGGUUGUGUAUUUUACCCGGAUGAUCAGUUUAUACUAUUUCUAGGGCAAGGGCGCCUCUAAUUUCUCACUUGGGAAAGGGGAAAAGAAGGAAAAAAGAUUUCCAAAGACAGAAUCAUAUUUCCAAAGAUUUCCAAAGUAGUUGGGGGGAAUGUUUCUCUCUCCUGUAAACAGGACCAUAUUUUCUUUUCCUGCUAUGGUGGCAGCAUAUUCUACUAGCACAGAGGCCAUGUCACCCAUUCUUUUUGAAAAAAUAGGGAACAUAGAAUCUGAGCCUGUCUAUUAUUCUUGUAAAUAAGGAUUGUUUAUGGCCUAUAGGUUCUUAGUUAUUUGCUUUUCACCUCCUCUUUAAAAUAAGAUUGUUUAUGCUGGCAAAUGUUCUCAUUUAUCUUUCUACUUUUUGAUAAAAUUCCAUCAACCUGAUUGGAGAAUUUAUCCCACUUUUUAAUCUUCACAUAUCCUUUCUAAUUUACAAUCUUCGCAUACACACUUAUAAAGCUACUGUGAGAUGGACUAUAGCAGCAGUGGAAAUGAUGCAUUUAAAGCUUUCUGCUAACAUUGAGGGUAAUAUUUGUAUUUGGCAAAAAAGUGUCCUCAUAAAUGAAUUUAAGGUUCAUAGUGCAGUAUCAAUAAAAUUUUUUACUUAUGUACAAAAUCUGGUUUGACUGAAAGUGCUGAGAAUAUAAACCACUGUGUCUGUCUUUCUUGAUAGGGCUGGUCUCCCCUGGAACUUAUUAAUUACACAAGAUGUCUUUGGGAUAGCUAACUCUAGUGAAAUUGUAUUGUGCAGCAUGCUACUAAUUCAACAAUUUGAAAUACCACUUGCAGAGCUUGCCUCGAGCUAUGAUUUAUUAUUUUGAUUUUGUCUAACCAUCUUCUUGACCUGCUGUGGAAUGCGCUUUAUAAAAUUUGUUUCAGGAUCCCGUGGAAUUCUUUCUG